rnacentral:misc_RNA from 1 species
CAAAUAUUUACAUUACAUAGUAGCCUAUUCACCUUAGAACAAACAUUGUAAUUAAGAAAAGCUCCAAUAUCCUAAAGAAAGAAUUGUCAGAGUGAAUCAAUUGCUUAACAUCCAAAGAAGGGUCAAAAGCAAUCAGGGAGGUGCAGACCAUGUAAACACCAUUCAGCUUCCAGGUACAUUCUCCUUUUUCUCACCCUCGCAACCAUGUGUUUCUGUAUGACGAGUUAUCACGCAGAGACGCAUCGUGGGGUUUGUAUUCCAUUACAUACCCAUGCGGGAGCUUUAAGUGCCUUUUGAUUGAAUCUCGCAGACCCAUCACCGCCUGAUGAUCAGAUGCAUUGCGGUUCCAGACGCUCAAAAUAUCCUCGUUGAAACGAAUGCUAAGCACGGCACCACAUAUGUUAUCGCCAAAAUCAAGUUGGUCGCCCACUAAUGCAAGAACCAAAUCUUCCCAAAAUCGCCCAGAUACAACUUUCUUAAAUCGUAUUAUCCACUUUCCACCAUUGCAGUUCGCAGAAUCCUCCCAGAGUGGACGGAUUCCUUCCUUAAAGAGAUGCAGAUCUGUUGGGCUUGGCAAAGAAGAAGGACGAGCCAAAUGGCAAUAGCUUACCCAAAAACCUUCAACCGAGCUGAAGUCCACGAUCUUUUUUAUGUUGUCCUCAUAUGACGUUUGAGUCCGAACUCCAGGUGUUCGACGAGUGUACCAAAAUGCAAACUUGUGCUUUAGGGGAUGAAGGCCAUCUUUGAGGUCUCGAGCUACGCGUUCACUUAACUCUUCAGCUUCUUUGGCAUUUGUGUCAUCAGCGGCUGAGGGUUGAUAAGAAGAAUCAAGAAGUGGUUGAGCAGAGUUGAGCUUCUUGUUGUCGUUUGAAGAAUCAAAAUCCCUCUUCUCGCUUACCAACUCCAUUGACAGCUUCUUCUUCCGAUUUCGUAUGCCCUAAAAUUUGCUUUUGUCACCAACUUUGUGCGUCCGCGAUACUGCAAAUUCAGCAAACCGACACAGAACCGGAGAGGG